AGGCAGGCAGGCAGACAGGCAGGCAGACAGACAGACAUACAGACAGACAGACAGAUUUUUCAAAGACAACCUCUUCUAUGGCCGGCCUGUUAGCAUACUGCAUCCACCUCUGUGAAGCCUCAAGGCCUUGAAAGCCCAUAAUUACACUCUCUGGCCGCUUUGAUGAUCUCUGAGCAGUGGUGCCACACAUAUCUGCAGUCUCAGAGAGAGAAAGACUAAACCUGCUGACUUCAAGGGAAAGACCUUGUCACCUUUCCAAGCGAGAAAAUUGUUCAGAGGUUUUAAACUUUAACAUUUCAGAAUCUAUAGUUUAGUGUCUAAAGUUUAGUUGAGUGAAUGAGCACAACGCUUUAUACACACUGAAGACAAGCUGGAGACUAACUAAGAUAUUGAAUGAAAGGUAUUAGUUAUAUGAUACUUUAGUCCAGACCAGUUUGUCAGUUUCUUUCAUACCAUGGAGCAGCACGCUUUGGACCAACUCUGACCUGGAACACCUACUGAUUCUUUUUCUAUUUGACCUCCACUCCCACUUUUCAGAGGUCAACUUGACCUCUUGAAUUAAAACAAUCACUUGAGAAUUGACUAAAUCUCUGUGAGCUGACUAUCUGACUGACAGCAUUCUUCCAUGGGCCAGCGCCGGUCUACAGACUGGAGGUUGAGAAACACUUUGUCUGGACGACUGACAGCAUUCUUCCAUGGGCCAGCGCCGGUCUACAGACUGGAGGUUGAGAAACACUUUGUCUGGACGACUGACAGCAUUCUUCCAUGGGCCAGCGCCGGUCUACAGACUGGAGGUUGAGAAACACUUUGUCUGGACGACUGACAGCAUUCUUCCAUGGGCCAGCGCCGGUCUACAGACUGGAGGUUGAGAAACACUUUGUCUGGACGACUGACAGCAUUCUUCCAUGGGCCAGCGCCGGUCUACAGACUGGAGGUUGAGAAACACUUUGUCUGGACGACUGACAGCAUUCUUCCAUGGGCCAGCGCCGGUCUACAGACUGGAGGUUGAGAAACACUUUGUCUGGACGACUGACAGCAUUCUUCCAUGGGCCAGCGCCGGUCUACAGACUGGAGGUUGAGAAACACUUUGUCUGGACGACUGACAGCAUUCUUCCAUGGGCCAGCGCCGGUCUACAGACUGGAGGUUGAGAAACACUUUGUCUGGACGACUGACAGCAUUCUUCCAUGGGCCAGCGCCGGUCUACAGACUGGAGGUUGAGAAACACUUUGUCUGGACGACUGACAGCAUUCUUCCAUGGGCCAGCGCCGGUCUACAGACUGGAGGUUGAGAAACACUUUGUCUGGACGACUGACAGUCCAACUCAGGUCAUUUUCCCAGAUCGCUCUCCUUUGUGUCCGUUAAGAAAUAGCUCAAGACAAGCCUUGCUGAUGAUGACAUCACUAUGUGACAGCAUCUGUCUUCUGAGUUUCAACCAUAGAAUGUGAGUCAGUAGAACAGACAUUUCCAUUCAAAUUGACAUUUGGAAUGCUUGAAUAAUUGAUGCAUUGCACAUGUAUGAGGAGCUUUGUCCGUUUGAUCAAUUUCUCAUUCUAUGGUUUUCUCAUCACAG